UCUUAUGGAUGAGCAAAGAAAGUGGUUUCUUGAGAUAAAAUCUACUCCUGGUGAAGAUAACAUGAGGA
rnacentral:pre_miRNA from 1 species